CUCGAGAUGACCUAGUGGCGAACGGGUGAGUAACACGUGGGCAAUCUGCCCGUAUGUCGUGGAUAACGGUUGGAAACGACAGCUAAUACAGGAUGAGCAUCCCGAAGGCAUCUUUGGGAUGUAAAAGGGGCUUUGGCCCCGCAUACGGAUGAGCCUGCGGUGCAUUAGCUAGUUGGUGAGGUAACGGCCCACCAAGGCGAUGAUGCAUAGCCGACCUGAGAGGGUGACCGGCCACAUUGGGACUGAGACACGGCCCAAACUCC
rnacentral:rRNA from 1 species